GUGGGGAAUAUUGGACAAUGGGGGGAACCCUGAUCCAGCCAUGCCGCGUGUGUGAAGAAGGCCUUUUGGUUGUAAAGCACUUUAAGCGAGGAGGAGGCUACCGAGAUUAAUACUCUUGGAUAGUGGACGUUACUCGCAGAAUAAGCACCGGCUAACUCUGUGCCAGCAGCCGCGGUAAUACAGAGGGUGCAAGCGUUAAUCGGAUUUACUGGGCGUAAAGCGCGCGUAGGUGGCCAAUUAAGUCAAAUGUGAAAUCCCCGAGCUUAACUUGGGAAUUGCAUUCGAUACUGGUUGGCUAGAGUAUGGGAGAGGAUGGUAUAAUUCCAGGUGUAGCGGUGAAAUGCGUAGAGAUCUGGAGGAAUACCGAUGGCGAAGGCAGCCAUCUGGCCUAAUACUGACACUGAGGUGCGAAAGCAUGGGGAGCAAACAGGAUUAGAAACCCCGGUAGUCC
rnacentral:rRNA from 1 species